UACGUAGGGGGCAAGCGUUGUCCGGAUUUAUUGGGCGUAAAGAGCGUGUAGGCGGCCAGGUAGGUCUGCUGUGAAAACUCGAGGCUUAACCCCGAGCCUGCUUCUGAUACGGGCAGACUAGAGGUAUGCAGGGGAGAACGGAAUUCCUGGUGUAGCGGUGAAAUGCGCAGAUAUCAGGAGGAAUACCGGUGGCGAAGGCGGCAUCCUGGACCGACAUUGACGCUGAGGAGCGAAAGCUAGGGGAGCAAACGGG
rnacentral:rRNA from 1 species